rnacentral:rRNA from 1 species
CACAUUAUGAUCACGUGUAAUCGGAUACCAUGGUAGCCGUAUGGGGUGGAUUAUGUGGCGAACGAAAAUAAGUAACACGUGGGCAAUCUGCCCUGAUGUCUGGGACAAGCCCUGGAAACGGGGUCUAAUACCGGAUAUGACCGUCCAUCGCAUGGUGGAUGGUGUAAAGCUCCGGCGGUGCAGGAUGAGCCCGCGGCCUAUCAGCUAGUUGGUGAGGUAGUGGCUCACCAAGGCGACGACGGGUAGCCGGCCUGAGAGGGCGACCGGCCACACUGGGACUGAGACACGGCCCAGACUCCUACGGGAGGCAGCAGUGGGGAAUAUUGCACAAUGGGCGAAAGCCUGAUGCAGCGACGCCGCGUGAGGGAUGACGGCCUUCGGGUUGUAAACCUCUUUCAGCAGGGAAGAAGCGAAAGUGACGGUACCUGCAGAAGAAGCGCCGGCUAACUACGUGCCAGCAGCCGCGGUAAUACGUAGGGCGCAAGCGUUGUCCGGAAUUAUUGGGCGUAAAGAGCUCGUAGGCGGCUUGUCACGUCGGUUGUGAAAGCCCGGGGCUUAACCCCGGGUCUGCAGUCGAUACGGGCAGGCUAGAGUUCGGUAGGGGAGAUCGGAAUUCCUGGUGUACCGGCGAAAUGCGACUCAUGCUAUCGAGGUUCCAUUCCCUCCAGACCGGGGAAUAAAAUACCUAUGGGCCCCCGGUCUCCCGUGGCUGUUACAGAAAUUUCGUGCACGAUGAACGGGUGGGUGCUGAUAAACCUGUCCGGGCAACGUAUAUCGCAACGCGAAGAACCUUACCAAGGCUUGACAUACACCGGAAAGCCUCAGAGAUGGUGCCCCCCUUGUGGUCGGUGUACAGGUGGUGCAUGGCUGUCGUCAGCUCGUGUCGUGAGAUGGUGGGGUUAAGUCCCGCAACGAGCGCAACCCUUGUCCCGUGUUGCCAGCAGGCCCUUGUGGUGCUGGGGACUCACGGGAGACCGCCGGGGUCAACUCGGAGGAAGGUGGGGACGACGUCAAGUCAUCAUGCCCCUUAUGUCUUGGGCUGCACACGUGCUACAAUGGCCGGUACAAUGAGCUGCGAUACCGUGAGGUGGAGCGAAUCUCAAAAAGCCGGUCUCAGUUCGGAUUGGGGUCCGCAACUCGACCCCAUGAACUCGGAGUCGCUAGUAAUCGCAGAUCAGCAGGGCUGCGG